AGUCAAGUGAAUAAGUGCAUCAGGUGGAUGCCUUGGCGAUGAUAGGCGAAGAAGGACGUGUAAGCCUGCGAAAAGCACGGAGAAGCUGGCAAAAAAGCAAUGAUACCGUGAUGUCCGAAUGGGGAAACCCACUGCACUCGUGCAGUAUCCUAGUCUGAAUACAUAGGGCUAGAGAAGCGAACCUGGAGAACUGAACCAUCUAAGUACCCAGAGGAAAAGAAAUCAACCGAGAUUCCGCAAGUAGUGGCGAGCGAACGCGGAAAAGCCUGUAUAUGAUAAUGGUUAAGAUAGAAGAAGGGAUUGGAAACUUCCGCCAUAGUGGGUGAUAGCCCCGUAUUUGAAAUCUUAACCAUGGUACUAAGUAUACGAGAAGUAGGGCGGGACACGUGAAAUCCUGUCUGAAUAUGGGGGGACCAUCCUCCAAGGCUAAAUACUCAUCAUCGACCGAUAGUGAACCAGUACCGUGAGGGAAAGGCGAAAAGAACCCCGGAAGGGGAGUGAAAUAGAACCUGAAACCUGAUGCAUACAUACAGUGGGAGCAUCUUUGUGGUGUGACUGCGUACCUUUUGUAUAAUGGGUCAACGACUUACAUUCAGUAGCGAGCUUAACCGAGUAGGGGAGGCGUAGGGAAACCGAGUCUUAAUAGGGCGACUAGUUGCUGGGUGUAGACCCGAAACCGAGUGAUCUAUCCAUGGCCAGGAUGAAGGUGCGGUAAAACGCAUUGGAGGUCCGAACCCACGCAUGUUGCAAAAUGUGGGGAUGAGCUGUGGAUAGGGGUGAAAGGCUAAACAAACUCGGAGAUAGCUGGUUCUCCCCGAAAACUAUUUAGGUAGUGCCUCGAGUAUGAGACUGAUGGGGGUAAAGCACUGUUAUGGCUAGGGGGUUAUUGCAACUUACCAACCCAUGGCAAACUAAGAAUACCA
rnacentral:rRNA from 1 species